rnacentral:rRNA from 1 species
CCUACGGGCGGCUGCAGUGAGGAAUAUUGGUCAAUGGACGCAAGUCUGAACCAGCCAUGCCGCGUGCAGGAAGACGGCUCUAUGAGUUGUAAACUGCUUUUGUACGAGGGCAAACGCAGAUACGCGUAUCUGUCUGAAAGUAUCCUACGAAUAAGGAUCGGCUAACCCCGUGCCAGCCGCCGCGGUAAUACGGAGGAUUCCAGCGUUAUUCGGAUUUAUUGGGUUUAAAGGGUGCGUAGGCGGACUGGACAGUCAGCGGUAAAAUCGAGAGGCUCAACCUCUUUCCGCCGUUGAAACUGUCGGUCUUGAGUGGGCGAGAAGUAGGCGGAAUGCGUGGUGUAGCGGUGAAAUGCAUAGAUAUCACGCAGAACUCCGAUUGCGAAGGCAGCAUACCGGCGCCCGACUGACGCUGAGGCACGAAAGCGUGGGUAUCGAACAGGAUUAGAUACCCCAGUAGUC